CUACGGGCUGCAGCAGUGGGGAAUAUUGCACAAUGGGCGCAAGCCUGAUGCGGCCAUGCCGCGUGUAUGAAGAAGGCCUUCGGGUUGUAAAGUACUUUCAGCGGGGAGGAAGGGAGUAAAGUUAAUACCUUUGCUCAUUGACGUUACCCGCAGAAGAAGCACCGGCGAACUCCGUGCCAGCAGCCGCGGUAAUACGGAGGGUGCAAGCGUUAAUCGGAAUUACUGGGCGUAAAGCGCACGCAGGCGGUUUGUUAAGUCAGAUGUGAAAUCCCCGGGCUCAACCUGGGAACUGCAUCUGAUACUGGCAAGCUUGAGUCUCGUAGAGGGGGGUAGAAUUCCAGGUGUAGCGGUGAAAGGCGUAGAGAUCUGGAGGAAUACCGGUGGCGAAGGCGGCCCCCUGGACGAAGACUGACGCUCAGGUGCGAAAGCGUGGGGAGCAAACAGGAUUAGAUACCCUAGUAGUC
rnacentral:rRNA from 1 species